AUUACCAGCCCUCUGUCAGGUGCCCCCAUGUUUGCGGGAGAAUCGGGAAUGCGGUGAAAUUCCGCAACGUGCCCAACGCUGUGAGGUGGAUGGUUGUUGCUUUUGCCACUGGUGAAAACCGGGAAGGUGCGGCAACCAAAUGAAACCCAGUCAGAAGACCGGCCUGACAUGAUAGACGCCA
rnacentral:ncRNA from 2 species